rnacentral:rRNA from 1 species
GACGAGCGCUGGCGGCGUGCUUAACACAUGCAAGUCGAACGGAAAGGCCCUGCUUUUGUGGGGUGCUCGAGUGGCGAACGGGUGAGUAACACGUGAGUAACCUGCCCUUGACUUUGGGAUAACUUCAGGAAACUGGGGCUAAUACCGGAUAGGAGCUCCUGCUGCAUGGUGGGGGUUGGAAAGUUUCGGCGGUUGGGGAUGGACUCGCGGCUUAUCAGCUUGUUGGUGGGGUAGUGGCUUACCAAGGCUUUGACGGGUAGCCGGCCUGAGGGGGUGACCGGCCACAUUGGGACUGAGAUACGGCCCAGACUCCUACGGGAGGCAGCAGUGGGGAAUAUUGCACAAUGGGCGGAAGCCUGAUGCAGCAACGCCGCGUGCGGGAUGACGGCCUUCGGGUUGUAAACCGCUUUCGCCUGUGACGAAGCGUGAGUGACGGUAAUGGGUAAAGAAGCACCGGCUAACUACGUG